UCUGGGAUUAGAUACCCUGUUAUUUAAAAUGUAAUUAAAAUAUACUUGAGUAGUAAUAGUUAUGAUCUUUAAACUUAAAAAAUUUGGCGGUAUUUUAGUCUAUUCAGAGGAACUUGUUUUGUAAUCGAUAAUCCACGAUGUACCUCACUUAAUAUUAUAAAUUAGUUUGUAUACCGUCGUUAUUGAAAAUUUUAUAAGAAUAAUAAUUUUCAACUAUUUUUAUUAAAAUUAAUGUCAGAUCAAGGUGCAGCUUAUAAUUAAGUAAUAAUGAGUUACAAUAAAUUUAUUUAUGUGGAUAUAAAUAUGAAAAAUUUAUUGAAAUUGGAUUUGAAAGUAAAAUUAAAUAGAUUAUUAAUUUGAUUUUAGCUCUAAAAUAUGUACAAAUCGCCCGUCACUC
rnacentral:rRNA from 1 species